CUCCCCAUCACUAAGCUGCUCAUCUGGAAACACUUCGUCUGUAUUUUCUCGAAGCAAGUCUCCUGGGAUAGGGGUGGCAUUUGCAAUUCUGAAGAAUUAGGAGAGGAAACCAGAAAACUUUAAAGACCAGAAUAAAAGAGGAGCCGGGCAAUGGUUGUGCAUGCCUUUAAUCCCAAGCACUGGGGAAGAAGUAGGUGGAUCUCUGUGAGUUCAAGGCCAGCCUGGUCUACAGCUGGAGUUCUAGGACAGCUACACAAAGAAAUCCUGUCUCGACAAACUAAAAAACAAUCAAACAAACAAAAACAAAAAUUCAAAAAAAUCCCAAUCACACAUACAGAAAAAAUUUUAUGUGUAUGUUUAUAUACACAGUCCAAUUUAUGCUUUUAGUUUGGCUUGUUUCAAAUAUAAUUUCAUUCUUACCUA